UGGGGGAUAUUGCACAAUGGAGGAAACUCUGAUGCAGCGAUGCCGCGUGGGGGAAGAAGGUUUUCGGAUUGUAAACCCCUGUCUUCGGGGACGAUAAUGACGGUACCCGAGGAGGAAGCUCCGGCUAACUACGUGCCAGCAGCCGCGGUAAUACGUAGGGAGCGAGCGUUGUCCGGAAUUACUGGGUGUAAAGGGAGUGUAGGCGGGACAGUAAGUCAGGUGUGAAAUUUAUGGGCUCAACUCAUAACCUGCAAUUGAAACUACUGUUCUUGAGUGAAGUAGAGGUUGGCGGAAUUCCUAGUGUAGCGGUGAAAUGCGUAGAUAUUAGGAGGAACAUCAGUGGCGAAGGCGGCCAACUGGGCUUUUACUGACGCUGAGGCUCGAAAGCGUGGGGAGCAAACA
rnacentral:rRNA from 1 species